rnacentral:snoRNA from 1 species
CACCAAAGCAUUUAGUCAGGGUGAUACUCGUACGCCACCAUGUACAACUUACCUAAAAUAUUGCCUGUUACGUCUUUGGGAGAAUAAUACUUCUCGCCCUUGUGAACCCGAGGAGCAAUCCUUGGAUCCGAUCACCGUUCUGGUGAUUAGAUUGUAGUUCACACACCCCCCUCCGAGGAUAGUUCUUAUCCUUGACCCUUUAGAGUUGUACCGGAAUCUUUUUUGAGUUGAAGCUUGUCUGGAUGUUCAUUCGUCCGCUCCAUGACUUGGUUCUUAGUAUAGAAACCGACAUCU